rnacentral:rRNA from 1 species
AGGGUGGCGUAGGCGGCCUGUUAAGUCAGGGGUGAAAGACGGUAGCUCAACUAUCGCAGUGCCCUUGAUACUGAUGGGCUUGAAUGGACUAGAGGUAGGCGGAAUGAGACAAGUAGCGGUGAAAUGCAUAGAUAUGUCUCAGAACACCGAUUGCGAAGGCAGCUUACUAUGGUCUUAUUGACGCUGAGGCACGAAAGCGUGGGGAUCAAACAGGAUUAGAUACCCCUGGU